CACUCACCCCUCACUCUUCACAGAAUCAGCCGUCACGUCUUCUACUCCGAGAGAGAGCUCUGCUAGGGUUCAGCCGCUUUUCGCAUCCAGUGGACUCGAAUCAGUUUUCCGCUUCUCUUCCUAAGCAUACUCUAGAGCCGUGGUGUCCAUGGUUGCCGUUGAGUUCCUGUACUAGCAUAUUCCAGACGCGAGAGGUAACCGUGGUCAACGAGGGAGAGACGAACCCGCUGCUUAGUCUUCUUGGGUCGGACUUUCGGUCUUUCUUGGUCUAUCUUUAGGACUACAGCCCAUGUACUUGUCCGCUUUUAUAUCUUGCUAGGAUUCCAGUAAAUCAUUUAAAUGUUUCUUUUAUUUUUUGUGGCAUCGUGGUGUGCCUUGAUUUGUACGGCGUUAUGUUUAAAUUCCAGGACUACAUGGUUAUAUUAUCAU